UGAGCAAUACGGUGGCGUUUGUGGGA
rnacentral:piRNA from 1 species